GAAUCGUUUGUAGACGACUUACGUACCUGGCGAGGUGUUGUCAGCGGUAGAGCAGUUAUCACGCUGCGAUCCGUUAAGACUCUGCCUUCCGCUUGGGAGAUUC
rnacentral:ncRNA from 1 species